UACGAGAGGCCCAAACGUUAUUCGGAUUUACUGGGCUUAAAGAGUUCGUAGGCGGUGCGGAAAGUGGGGUGUGAAAGCCCUCGGCUCAACCGAGGAAUUGCGCUCCAAACUUCCACACUUGAGGAGGAUAGAGGUGAGCAGAACUGAUGGUGGAGCGGUGAAAUGCGUUGAUAUCAUCAGGAAUACCGGAGGCGAAGGCGGCUCACUGGGUCCUUUCUGACGCUGAGGAACGAAAGCUAGGGGAGCAAACGGG
rnacentral:rRNA from 1 species